GUUGAAAGACCCGUUCUCAUACGAUCACUAAAGCUAAGCAACGUCGAACUUGGUCAGUAUCUAGAUGGGUGACCGCUUGGGAAUACUAAGU